UACGGAGGGUGCAAGCGUUAUCCGGAUUCACUGGGUUUAAAGGGUGCGUAGGCGGGCAGGUAAGUCCGUGGUGAAAUCUCUGAGCUUAACUCAGAAACUGCCAUGGAUACUAUUUGUCUUGAAUAUUGUGGAGGUGAGCGGAAUAUGUCAUGUAGCGGUGAAAUGCUUAGAUAUGACAUAGAACACCCAUUGCGAAGGCAGCUCACUACACAAUGAUUGACGCUGAGGCACGAAAGCGUGGGAUCAAACAGG
rnacentral:rRNA from 1 species